GACGAACGCUGGCGGCGUGCUUAACACAUGCAAGUCGAACGAUGAAGCCGGAGCUUGCUCUGGUGAAUUAGUGGCGAACGGGUGAGUAACACGUGAGUAACCUGCCCUUGACUCUGGGAUAACUGCGGGAAACUGUAGCUAACACCGGAUACGACCCUCGGAGGCAUCUCCUGGGGGUGGAAAGAAUUUCGGUCAAGGAUGGACUCGCGGCCUAUCAGCGAGUUGGUGAGGUAAAGGCUCACCAAGGCGACGACGGGUAGCCGGCCUGAGAGGGUGACCGGCCACACUGGGACUGAGACACGGCCCAGACUCCUACGGGAGGCAGCAGUGGGGAAUAUUGCACAAUGGGCGCAAGCCUGAUGCAGCAACGCCGCGUGAGGGAUGACGGCCUUCGGGUUGUAAACCUCUUUUAGCAGGGAAGAAGCGAAAGCGACGGUACCUGCAGAAAAAGCACCGGCUAACUACGUGCCAGCCGCCGCAGUAA
rnacentral:rRNA from 1 species